AAGUCGUAACAAGGUUUCCGUAGGUGAACCUGCGGAAGGAUCAUUAUGAAUUGUGUAAGCUCUCGUUUACCGAGGCUUAUUGCUUUUCUGUGAACUGGAUCUUUUUCAUGUUGUUUCUCUUUUGAAAUGACAGGGGAAAGAUUGCCAAUUUGUUUUCUGUCGUAAUUGUUUAAUUUUUACAAGUUUUCUUUGUAAUGAAAGACAACUUUCAGCAAUGGAUCUCUUGGCUCUU
rnacentral:misc_RNA from 1 species